GGAUGAACGCUAGCUACAGGCUUAACACAUGCAAGUCGAGGGGCAGCACGGUGUAGCAAUACACGUGGUGGCGACCGGCGCACGGGUGCGUAACGCGUAUCCAACUUUCCCGUUACUCAGGGAUAGCCUUCCGAAAGGGAGAUUAAUACCUGAUGGUGUUUGAAGUUCGCAUGUUCUUCAAACUAAAGAUUUAUCGGUAACGGAUAGGGAUGCGUGACAUUAGAUAGUAGGCGGGGUAACGGCCCACCUAGCCGACGAUGGAUAGGGGUUCUGAGAGGAAGGUCCCCCACACUGGAACUGAGACACGGUCCAGACUCCUACGGGAGGCAGCAGUGAGGAAUAUUGGUCAAUAGGCGCAAGCCUGAACCAGCCAAGUAGCGUGAAGGAAGACUGCCCUAUGGGUUGUAAACUUCUUUUAUACGGGAACAACCACAGGUACGUGUACCUGUCUGCGUGUACCGUAUGAAUAAGCAUCGGCUAACUCCGUG
rnacentral:rRNA from 1 species